UGGGCACCAUUGCCUUCGCCAGGCCGCGGU
rnacentral:piRNA from 1 species